rnacentral:rRNA from 1 species
AUUGAACGCUGGCGGCAGGCCUAACACAUGCAAGUCGAGCGAGCGGCGGACGGGUGAGUAAUGUCUGGGAAACUGCCUGAUGGAGGGGGAUAACUACUGGAAACGGUAGCUAAUACCGCAUACCAUCAGAUGUGCCCAGAUGGGAUUAGCUAGUAGGUGGGGUAACGGCUCACCUAGGCGACGAUCCCUAGCUGGUCUGAGAGGAGUACCAGCACCACUGGAACUGAGACACGGGCCAGACUCCGACGGAAUGCAGCAUGUGGGAAUAUUGCACAAUGGGCGCAAGCCUGAUGCAGCCAUGCCGCGUGUGUGAAGAAGGCCUUCGGGUUGUAAAGCACUUUCAGCGGGGAGGCGUUACCCGCAGAAGAAGCACCGGCUAACUCCGUGCCAGCAGCCGCGGUAAUAC